CAGCCGUCGUCCUCCAUCUCCUUCCGAUGAGCACCGUCUCACCGACGGAAAAUCAAUCAACUUUAACGGCCACUUAGCGUCUCCUUCCCCGGCGCUAAUCUCCCUUCUUCCCAAUACAUCCGGGGUCCAACCACAAGACAAGACUCUUCUCCAUCUCAUCUACGUCACCGAGAGAGACGGCGCGCCUACCUUACACUACGACGUCGUUCACAGCGAUAAUAAAGGAACCAACGUUCAAGUCCCGUUACUGUCAGAGCAACAGAGUGGCAUGAGUGUAAACUCGAUGAAAGACACUCCUGUCUUAACCAACGAGCAUCUUGUCUACGUGUCGACUCACGAGAACUCCGGUAAGCCCAUGGCGAGUUGGGCCGCAGUCUACUCCACCGAGUUAAUAACUAAAGCGACUCAGCGUCUAACGCCUCCCGGAAUCGCUGAUUUCUCUCCGGCCGUGUCUCCGUCGGGGAAGUGGACCGCCGUGGCUUCCUACGGGGAGAAAGGUUGGAGUAUUGUGUCGAAGGAGCUUAGCACGGACAUCUACGUUUUCCUGACUGGAGACGGGACUCAGCGAGUCAAGGUGGUCGAGCUUGGAGGAUGGCCGAGAUGGACCGACGAGUCGACUCUUUAUUUCCACCGCAAAAGCGACGACGGUUGGAUCAGCGUGUACCGUGCGGUUUUACCCAAAACCGGACCGGUUUCAACCAAAACCGUAACGGUUACCCGAGUCACACCUUCUGGUAUUCACGCGUUCACACCAGCCACGUCACCAAACAACAACGACUUCAUCGCUGUUGCGACGAGGAGGCCCGAAUCGGAGAUCCGCCACGUGGAGCUUUUCGAUUUAAAGAAAAACGAGUUCGUCGAGCUGACUCGUCUCGUGUCUCCGAAGAGUCACCAUUUCAACCCGUUUCUUUCCCCUGACUCGUCCCGAGUCGGGUACCAUAGCUGCAGAGGCGACAGAACGAAUCCUCACAAUCUCCUCCAGAGGCUCAAAACCACUUCGGAGGAUCUAUCUCUCUUCAGAUUCGACGGCGCGUUCCCGUCUCUCUCCCCCGAAGGCAAUCGUUUCGCGUUCGUCACGUUCACGGGAGUUUUCGUAGUGAACCAAGACGGUUCCGGUCUACGCCAGAUUCUCCCGCAGGUUGGAUUUGGAACGGUUUGGGAUCCGGUUCGACGCGGGAUCGUGUACACAAGCUCAGAUCCCAGUCUUAAUUUCACAGCUCCCGGCUUAGUAGGGACACAUAAAAUCAAUAUCCUCGCCGUUAACGUCGACGCACGAAACCCUUCAUCCGCCGUUAAAAAACUAACGACUGGCGGCCAAAACAACGCCUUCCCGUGGCCAUCACCCGACGGUAAACGCAUCGUGUUCCGGUCUGACCGCUCCGGUACGAAAAACCUUUACAUUAUGGACGCGGAGAAAGGUGAAGCCGGUGGUUUGUUCAGACUAACCAACGGUAACUGGAACGAUACGAUAGCCACUUGGUCUCCAGACAAUAACUGGAUCGUGUUCGCAUCGAACCGGGAAUAUAUUGGUACGUUGUUGAUGGAUUUGUAUGUGGUUCACCCGGACGGGACCGGUUUAAGGAAGGUGGCGCAAAACUUGACCGGUGGAGUUUCCAUGCAUCCCAUGUUUAGUCCAGAUAGUAAAAGAAUCGUGUUCACUACUACUUACGCUGGUAUCUCAGCAGAGCCUAUUGGUAAUCCGAAGUUUAACGUCGCGAGUAGUGAGAUUUUUACUGUGAAUUUGGAUGGUUCUGAUUUCAUGAGGCUCACGCACAACUCGGUUGAAGAUGGUCCGCCUCUGUGGUUUCCGAAGAUCAAAGCUACUGGUGAUGUAGCAUGGCCCAAGAGGUUUGGGGCUAGCUGCGCUUUUGAAGAUUUCAAGUCGCAGAAUACGACCGUGAAAAUGAAUAAGCGGUCAUUGAUGUGUCCCUCACAAUAGUUUGUUAUUUAAUAACUUACUGUUUGAGUUGAUAACUUUGUUAUAGUGAUAUCUUAUAAAUGUAUUGGAAAUGAAUAAGGAAUAAUAUAGUAUUGUACUUUAGAUUUCUUGAUAUCUUUCGGUGGUAAAUUUAUGAAAGAAUGGCAAUACAUUUUCAAAAACUAGCUAGAAACAUUUCAUGAGAAUUUGAUUAAUUUUCUCGUAUCCAUUAAACUAAAAGUCUGAGGUAGGGAUCAUAGUUACCUCAAACCGCUGGAUAUGUGGAUAGCUAUGAUCUUUGUAUUCAACCGAUACAGAAUGAGAAUAUGUUUAUCAGUAAACUGCGUGGCUGAUAACUGGUUGUUGGGAUAAUGUGCUACAUUUGUAUUAGUGCAUAUGUUCAUUUGGGACGGUGUUAGACUUUUGGCUGUUUUUCUUUAUAAAACUAGCUAUUUAGAAAAAGAAGAUGGAACCAGAGUAUAUUCAAAUUGAUUGUCAUUCUCGUUUACAUUGAUUAUUGUCUUAGAAUGGCUUCUAAUUUCGUAUGUGUAUUUUUAAUGAAACCACAAUAAUAUUCAAAUUCAUAUAUCUUGGUUACAAUUCAAUUAGAUACCCAGUCAUAUAUGGGUAUUGGGUAUCAUCUAGCAUCUUCAGUGAUAGGGAUGCACCGAUGCAAGUUAACCAGCCAAGUCUUGACGUCUUAUACCAAUUGGAUUGGAAAUAAAAUACAAGUCCGAAGGGGUGUCAAACUGAGUUAUAGCUCAUAAACUAGUCCAGUUCAGCUCGAUUUUUCAUGAGCAUGAGAGCUGUUUUUUUUUAGGCUCAUUUAGAAAAUGAGCGUAAUGAUCGAGCUUAAAUUAAAUCACGAGUUAUAUGAACGAUCUUUAAUGAACAUGAACGAACUCAUGAGCUUGGUCGUUUUUAUACUUUAUAUAUAUAUAUAUUUGUGUGUGUGUGAAUUUUAUUUUUCUUAUAUAAGAAAAUAUAGUUUCUAUAUAAAUCAUAUCUAUCUUCUAAUUAAAAUUAAAAUGUAAAAUCAAAAAGCUUUAAAUACAUAUAAGAAUGUAAAAUAAUAUUGAUAUCAAUCCUCAUAUCAUAUAUCUUUAGAAUUAAAAUGUAAAACAAAAUAUUCCUAAGACUCUCAUGUGGAAUAUAUAUGCAACGUAGAUGGUAUCAUGUCGUAGCGAUAUCUGGGUAAAUCAUUUCGUUAUUAAUGUUAUCUUUAUCGAUGUAUCUAAGCCAGGAUUAUCUAAAUGUGUUAGAAGGAUUUGUACCACUGCGACAUGAUACCAUCCAGGUUGUAUCCAAACCAUAAGAGUCCACGAAACAACUAGACAUCCAAUAAUUGGAGAGUGGGAUCUUGUAGGCAUUUUUUGUUCCCUUCGGAGCCAUACAGAAAGAGAUCAUAUUUUCAGUAGCAAGCAUCUUUCAAACGACGACAAGGCAGAUCCGUCAAAUCACAUAGCAGUUAAUCUAGCCUAGUUUAAUGUCAUAAUAAUUGUACACUGUUCAUGCUUCUUUAGUAUAUACUCACUCUGUUGUAUUUUAAUUAUCAUUUUAGAUUUAAACGCACAGAUUAAAAAUAUAUUUAAUUUUGUAUAUUUACUAAAAGAAAACAAUAUUACCAAUACAAGUAACCACAUUUUAACCAAUAGAAAAAUAGAUUAAAAUAUAAAGUCAAUAAAUUUUGCGUUGAAACUAUAAAAUGACACUUAUUAUGAAACAAAUUUUUUACUCUAAAACGACAUUUAAAUUGAAACAGAAAAAUAUAGUUUGAUACUUAUCCUAAUUCAAGUAAGACAUGCUUGAUGAUUUGUGUGAUUAACCUCUGUUUAUCUAUAAUUGAAUAUUUAAGAUAAAAUCUAAAAGAUAUACACAUUUAUUUGGAUUGAAAUCUGAUGAUCUAUUACUAAAUUUUACUGUUAAUACUGCUAAUAUUCCUAGAUUUUAUUUGCCUCAAAUCAUUACUUCCCCGAUAAUGUCAAGAUCCUAUCCUGUAAUGUUCCCAGUGUAUUUUCUCAUCCAUGACCUUCAAAUUCAGAUUGACAUUUAUCCAAAACUACCAAUCAUAUCAAUUUCAUCCCAAACAAACAAGGAAUUUGAAACUUUUUUUAUCACAUAAAAAGGAAAUAGAAUCAAAUAAAUAAACUUAAAAGGCAAGGAAUCUUCGUAUUUAGUUAAUAGAAUAUAAAUUUCCCGAAUUAGUCAAAAGCUUUAAAAAUAAAAGUGUUAUCCACGUCAGCACUUACAACUAUUAUAUAAUGCUCCCGCCAAUUGCCAAAUCCCAAACAUUCAGACCACCCAAAAAAAUCAUGAACUCGACUCUAGUCUUCUUCUCGUUCUUCCUCAUCUCUCUCUUCUGCUUAUCAGCUUUAGCUGAGACCUCUCAAGCUUCUGAUGGCUCCACCAUCUUGUUCACGACGAUGGGUAGCUCCACUUUCGAGUUCGACAUCUUCACCCUCCACACCAGCCGUCGUCCUCCAUCUCCUUCCGAUGAGCACCGUCUCACCGACGGAAAAUCAAUCAACUUUAACGGCCACUUAGCGUCUCCUUCCCCGGCGCUAAUCUCCCUUCUUCCCAAUACAUCCGGGGUCCAACCACAAGACAAGACUCUUCUCCAUCUCAUCUACGUCACCGAGAGAGACGGCGCGCCUACCUUACACUACGACGUCGUUCACAGCGAUAAUAAAGGAACCAACGUUCAAGUCCCGUUACUGUCAGAGCAACAGAGUGGCAUGAGUGUAAACUCGAUGAAAGACACUCCUGUCUUAACCAACGAGCAUCUUGUCUACGUGUCGACUCACG
rnacentral:lncRNA from 1 species